UCUAAUUGGGUCCAAACAAUUAAAUAAAUGGGAGAUCCUCAAGCCCAAUCCUUUCCUCUUCCAUGCUACACGUUUCUUUUCAACAUAUUGACAAAAAUCUGCUUCUUCUCCAGUGUAAGCAUCAUCAGCAAAAAUCUUCAGUAAUUCCCCUCCGUUUCACAGCCAUUUCCUACACAAUUAAAUCACCCAAAUCAAAGUCAAUUAUGGUGAUUAAUCUCAAUUAAGUGCAGCUACUAAUUACUCCUUAAUUCCCAUUAUUGGAAAUUAAUCCCAAUUACUACUCAAAUCCACAUAAUCCACGGUGACUCCAUUCCCAUCACUCACCAUCUGCAAUUCCUAGAAUAAACCAAAGACAGAGAGAGAGAGCCGAGAGGGAUAAAGAGAGUAGAAGAACUUGUUUCCAAUUCCUACAAUUCACGAAUUCACGGCAGAAACCGGGAAGGUUGAAGAACUGCCAAGUUCCUCAUUCAAUUCCAUUCCAAACUUGAAAUCACCAUCCGGAGGAGCAUAGUUGUUCCCCCAAAUUCUAGCACCACCAAGUUCAAUUCACCGAGCUAUAAGAAUUAAUACUUAGAACAACACUAAAUAUCAAUUGUUUGCGUUGGGC